GUAAAUAUAUAUAUAUACAGAUAAUUAUCGAAAUAAUAGUCAACCCAUGUCUGUGACCUUGGGAGAGCUACUUCAGUUUCUUUUUUCUUUUUAAUUUUUUAUUAUCUUUAUUUAUUUGACCGGGAUCCUUACACCGGCCCUUGAGCUUUGUGCCAAAAGAACUUUGAAGAGAGAAUUCAAGAGGGCGUGAAACUGUUAAGAGGUAAACAGGUGUGGUCCACGGGAGCCCAAGUCCUUCUGAUCGAGGCCCAGCCCGUGGAUAGUGUGAGGCCAGUGACCCUGGUGCACCAGGCCCAGGCCUUCCUAGAGUCAGGUUGCUUGGGAAUGCAGCCCAAAACGGGUGGUAAACUCCAUCUAAGGCUAAAUACCAGCACGAGACCAACAGUCAACAAGUACAGUAAGUGAAAGUUGAAAAGAACUUUGAAGAGAUUCUUACAGGGAGAUUCGUUUCCUCAGUUCCCCAUUUUUCAAUGG
rnacentral:ncRNA from 1 species